ensembl:misc_RNA Metazoa_SRP Metazoan signal recognition particle RNA
GCCGGGUGUGGUGAUGCGCACUUGUAAUCCCAGCUACUCAGGAGGCUGAGGCAGGAGAAUUGCUUGAACCCGGGAGGCGGAGGUUGCAGUGAGCCGAGAUCGCACCACUGCACUCCAGCCUGGGUGACAAAGUGAGACUCUGUCUCAA